ACUGCGUCAUUUUCUAGGAAAUAAAGGCGCACCGUACUGCAUUACCUGCCAUGAAAAACCCUUUCGGUAAUGUUUAAAUGCGACUCGAGAAUGACGUUUACAGAAAAAACAGCAUACCACGACUUGAGACAUGAUUGCUCUCUGCUGUUGCUUAUGACCAGGGCUGGACUGGGACAAAAAAUCGGCCCGGGCGUUUUGACUAGAGACCAGUACUUAGCUGAAGCCCAAAGACUGCUUGGUCGAGUUAACCUCCUGAACUAUCUACAACACAUGGUGGAAACCUGAAAUUAAGACAGAGAAGACUAGAGGAGGAGGAAGGGAGUGAUGAGAGAGGGGUGAUGUGAAUCCAGAGUGAGCUGAGCGGCGUGGAAAGGCUGACCUGAGAUCUGGAGGUUCGUGACGGUGUGCGGUGGCAGGACGGCAAGCAGAUUAGGCGCAGUGUGUUUCCAAAAUGGAGGAUUGGUAUCCUGAGUCCGAGAGAGAAGCUUAACCCGAAGGUUUAAGACAAGCUGAUAGUCUGUGGGACCCAGGAAGACCGUAUACCUGCAUCUCUACACUUUCUGCACUCCAGCGUCUUCUGUUCCGUGUGAGAGGAUUUUCUCUGAGGCAGGAGAAACUAUCUCCAAGAAAAGAAACUCGGCCAUCACACAGUGGAACAAAUUCUCUUCUUAAAUAAAAACCAAACGGGAUGACCUUAAAUGCAUCACGUUUUUAAUUUGCAAGUUCAUAAGCAUUUUCCACAAUCAAUUCUACCCUCAGGUCAAAAAUAUGGAUAAGAAAAUUGGCCUAAUUUAAUAUUAUUUAUAAACACACCUGUCCAGCUGUCCUGUGAUUAAUUGGAUAAGUACAUGGAGGCAGGACCUCAGAGCAGAAGCAUAAUGUGUUGUACAUUAUUAUGUAUAUUAUAUAUAUUUUUCACUUACUGUAUUUAUCAACAUCAAGAAGUCACAAGUAAAGAAAGACCACACCAUGGGGCAUGAUUAAACAAGGAAAGUUUGUUGAUCAAAAUUUAUUAAACAA